rnacentral:rRNA from 1 species
AAUAGAUACCCAGGUAGUCCUAGCCGUAAACGAUACUCGCUAGGUGUCGGCCACGGUGCGACCGUUGUCGGUGCCGUAGGGAAGCCGUGAAGCGAGCCACCUGGGAAGUACGGCCGCAAGGCUGAAACUUAAAGGAAUUGGCGGGGGAGCACCACAACGGGUGGAGCUUGCGGUUUAAUUGGAUUCAACGCCGGAAAUCUUACCGGGACCGACAGCAACAUGAAGGCCAGGCUGAAGACUUUGCCGGAUUAGCUGAGAGGUGGUGCAUGGCCGUCGUCAGUUCGUACUGUGAAGCAUCCUGUUAAGUCAGGCAACGAGCGAGACCCACGCCCACAGUUGCCAGCGUACUCUCUGGAGUGACGGGUACACUGUGGGGACCGCCGCUGCUAAAGCGGAGGAAGGAAUGGGCAACGGUAGGUCAGUAUGCCCCGAAUAUCCCGGGCUACACGCGAGCUACAAUGGUUGGUACAAUGGGUAUCUACCCCGAAAGGGGAUGGAAAUCUCCUAAAGCCAAUCUUAGUUCGGAUUGAGGGCUGCAACUCG